AGCACUAAAGAUGCUAAAGGGGAUCAACCUAUCAACUACACACUUGCCUUGAACCGUAUGAAGUAACCAAAGCUGAUUUCCAACACUAAACCUGACAUAACCGCUUGUCUUGGGGCUUGGUAUACAUGGGAUCAGAUUCUUUAGACAGGUCUGGAAGGUAACGCCUGGUGUAGAUUAUUUACCAUAUUUUUUCUCUCUAAAUUUCGACCCUAGAUUAGUUAGUAAGUUAAAAAAAAUAAAAAAAAAAUAAAAAAUAAGAUCUAUUGUUUAAUUAUGAUGAGUCUGAACAGGACUUGGUGGCUAAAACCAUUAAGGCUUGAUUCAUAAAGACUCAAAUAAAAGAGUUCGAAACGGGACUUGGAGGUGGCAAUCUUCAAGGCUCGCUUUCGCAAAGAACUCUUGGAUAUAUGUCAAAAAGAAGUGAACAGAACUUGGUGGCAACCACCAUUAAGUUUUGAUUCAUGGAAGCCUGUCCAAUCUUGGUAACUGAUCCUGCAAUGGAAGCAGACUUUGACUCAAGAGAGAAAAUUAGAGAGAGAGAAACUAGGAACUAACUUUUACCUGCAGCUCCAGAUACCUGUCUGAAAUCCUUGCAUCCUGUGAUCGAUACUCCCAAGGUAAAGCAUUCACUUUAUAUUUAUGCUAAGAAAUGAAAUCAGUAGAGGGGAUGUCAGACGUGAAUUAAUGAGUUGUUUUAUGUGCUUUUGUGAUUAGGACUUUGUAAAUGUGGUUGCAAAAUUGUUGAAGAAAGAUUUCUUGCUUUAAAAUCUUAAGUCCCUAAUAUUUUCAAACCUUUUUCAGAGAGACUGCCUGUAUGUUUUGCUUGAGGACAAGCAAAAUGGUAAGUCUGGGGGAGUUGAUAUACCUUGGAUUUGACCCAUUUUUAUCCAUGGUAUAUAGGUGUUUUACUAUAUAUAUAUAUAUCUAUGUUUUCUACUCUUCUAUGUAUGUUUUCAGGUUCAGGUGCAUUUCGAAGUAAACCUAUGACUUUGGAGCAUUUUGGAGCUUAAAGGACAUUUCACUCGAGCUGACCACGUAGAGGUCGACGAGAGGAAGAACAAUCGAUCGAUGCGCCUCAGUGCUGACGAUCGAUACCAGGAGAUGCCUCGACAGAUGAAGAUUAAUAUCGAUCGAUGUACACAAGUACCAUCGAUCGAUGUCGACACACCAGACACGCGACAUUUUGGACUCAGCAGACUUAAAACCCAAGGCCAAGCCAAAUUACCAAAAUGCUCUGACGAGUUUUUAACCUAGUAGAAUAUAUACUGCCUAAGUGUUUUGACGGCAGAGAGCUUUUCUAGACCUAGUUUUGUUACAAGUUUCAUUUGGGAGAGAAGAUCACUUGUGAUUGGAACUCCUUGUUUUCAUUUCUUUUCAUAUAUACUAUGAGUUUCUAUUCCUUUAUUGUUAUGAAUUGUUUUGCUAUGUCUGAGUAGUUCAAUUAUUAGAUCCAGGGUUCAUAUAGGUUUGUGGGAUUAGCCCCAAACUAUAGAUCUGCCUUGUUGUGAUAUUCAUGAUUGAUUUGUAUUCAUUGCUUGUUUUAGCCUUGCUAACUAGAAGUUGAUAAUAGGAUUGCAUACUCAAGCACCCUUGUUAUCCCAUCCUGACAUCUAUCUAUUAUAUUAGGACUGAUAGAGAGGGCUAACCGCCAAUUUAGUAUCUUAAUAGGGCAUAUCAUACUCGCGCAUAGGCCUGGCUAGAACUCGUCGAUCGAUGUCCUCAACUGACUAUCGAUCGACGUUGGCAAAGGUGUAUCGGUCGACGUCUUAAUAGACCAUCGAUCGACACUCUCUCGUUGUCGACAUACUAACCGUUGAGACACGAAAUCUAGUCUGUUAACCAGUGAAACAUGCGACAACUGAUCACUAAGUUAGGCGAUUGAGCUCUAAUAUAUCAUGCAUGCAACAGUUAGGCAUCUAUAGGUAUUAUAAUCUCCAACACCGAAUAGUGACCCUGCAUCUAAUAUCAUUUCCAACCAAGUUACAUUUAUUAUUUACUCGCUUGUUACUAUUGCUAUUUCAUUUAAACAUUUGCAACCUUUAGAAUUAAUAAACACUAGAUUUAAUUGUUCCCUAGCUCCUUGUGGAUUUGAUCCCUAGGGUAAUUUGAGUGGUAUCAAUAUUGAUCUUGACAAAGUGUCGAUCGACGCUAUCAACGAGUUGUCGAUCGAUACACAUUUCAGACCGUCGGUCGAUACAACUACCGAGUUGUCAAUCGACGACCCUUCUAGCAAGCUUUAGCGAACAGGUAAAUAGGUUUGAUAAGUUCACUACGAUUCCUAAAUCAGCUUCCGCUUGUUUCUUACAAUCCUAGCACAAUGUAAAUUAAUUCAGACAGAGAACCGAGAUUUUGCUUGCGUCCUAAUAUCUUUAGGUAAGGUCCUAGUUAGUUAUUCUAGAACACAUGCAUUAAGAACAAUUCCACUGAUUCAUAUUCUAACAACUUAGCAGUUCUAUAUUUUUGGCUAAUCCCUCGUAACUAUCUGAACCCUAAACCUAAUAUGUGGAUCUAUUCAGACAUGAAGUUGUCACAGAAAAUCAUAGAAAGAAUAGAUGAAUAGAAUAGAUAAAAGCAAUAAAGAAACCAAAGGAGUUCCACGAGGAACUCCUUGACUCCGAAGGAGUUCCUCCUUUCUCUCCUAACCUAGAACUAUGAAUAAAAGAAAGCGUAGCCGUCAACAAUGGCUUGGAAAACACAUAAAUAGGGUUCUUGGUCGUCCAAGGGUAUUCUAGUAAUUUGUGGUUGCUUCUGGGCUUCAGUAGGUCAUAAAAUAUGCUUGGCCCAUAUUCUGGCAUCACCGUCGAUCGAUGGUAAGGGUGCACCGUCGAUCGACAGUCCUUUAUCUCCUCAACAGCUUUCUCUCGCGAGGCAGAUUGACCACUCUUCAGUAAAAUGGGCAUAACGUCUGCUAUAGGAUGCUGAUUGACCUCAAACCGGUGCAAUUGGAAAGAUAACUCAAAGAUAUAUUUUUUAUCUAAUGAUGGAAUCAAUCUAACGGUGGGAAGGUCUCCAUCCAUAGCUAAACAUCUGACGCGUCUGUGCAGCUCUGCACUAAAAAAUGCUCCAAAAGACACAAAAUUACCACAUUCUUCCAAAUCAUCCAUGAACCUGCAAAUACUCUAAAUAGACUCUAUAUCGUAGUAAAUAUAUAUAUUAAAACACUUAUAAACCAUUGCCAAAAGUGGGUAAAAUCUAUGGUAUAUCAUGUUUCACUUCAAACACACCAAAAAGAAGAAAAAAAAACUAAAAACGUGAAAAAAAAACAAAAUGUCGGCUGAUGGAAAUACUAUCGAGCUUCGGAGGUGGAUGUAUACGCACAGAGCUUCGGAGGUGGAGACAUUUAUGCAUCAAGCAGAUUCUACUCCGCUCGCUCAGGAAAGCAGUAAGAUGUUAUGUCCUUGUCGGAAAUGCAACAAUUCAAAAUUGGCAACUCAUGAAAUGUAUGUAAGCGUUUAAUAAAUAGAGGUUUCACGCCACAUUACUAUAUUUAGUAGUAGUAAUAGCAAUUUUCAGGAUGAACCGGUUUAUCAUUUGCAUAAUGAACAUAGUUACCAUCAGGAGGAGCAAAUGGUAGAGUGUGAUAGGGAUCAUGAUAUGGUAGCUGAUGCAUUUGUAGCUCAUGAUGAAGUCAAAGAACCUAUUAUAGAUGCAAAAAAGUUUGAUGAAAUGUUAGAUGCUGCGAAUCAGCCAAUUACUGUGUUUGUAGAGAAGGUCUCUCUAAAUUAUCGUUGGCUACUAGAAUGAUGAAUAUUAAAACUGAUCACAAUCUACGUGAAAGUUGCAUGGAUGCAUGAGCAGACUUGUUUAAAGAGUAUUUGCCAGAAACAAUGUGUCUGUUGAUUCUUAUUAUGAGAUUCAGAAACUGGUUUAUAGUCUUAGGUUGCCUUUGGAGAUGAUAGACGUUUGCAUCGACAAUUGCAUGAUCUACUGGGAGAUGAUGAGAAGUUAGAAGAAUGUCGAUUAUGCAAGCCACGAUUCAAACCACAAGGACGAGGACAUAAUAGGGUACCGUAUCAAAGGAUGUGGUACCUACCAAUUACAUACAUAUUGAAAAGAUUGUACCAAUCUGAGCAGACUGCCGGGGGGAUGAGAUGGCAUGCCGAGCAUACUCCGACGGAUGGUGAGAUGACUCAUCCAUCAGAUGCAAGAGCUUGGAAACAUUUUAACAAAGUACAUCCAGAAUUCGCUAGCAAUAGCCGAAAUGUAUAUCUUGGAUUAUGCACAAAUGGAUUUAGUCCAUUUGGAAUGUCAGGGAGACAAUAUUCAUUAUGGCCAGUCUUUCUUCCGCCAUACAACCUGCCACCGGAGACAAUAUUCAACGGGAGUUUCUAUUCUUAACAAUUUUAAUACCUGGUCCAAAAUAUCCAAAAAGGUCUCUGGAUGUUUUCUACAACCACUGAUAAAAUAGUUGAAAGAUUUGUGGUCAAUAGGGGUGAGGACAUAGGAUUGCUCAACGAAGACGAAUUUUACGAUGCAAGCGAUGCUUUUGUGGACCAUAAUUGACUUUCCUGCCUAUAUGAUGUUUUCUGAAUGGACUGCACAUGGCAGACUAUCUUGUUCAUAUUGUAAUGGAAUGACAGAUGUGUUUCAACUGAAGAAUGAUAGGAAGACAAGUUGGUUCAAUUGUCACCAUCGAUCUCUUCCCAUUAGCCAUCUGUACCGAAGAAACAAGAAAUUGUAUAGGCAUAAAAGCGUUGUGAGAGACACUCUUCCUCCAUAUUUAAAUGGAGAAGAAAAUGAAGCGCAAAUCGAUUGCUACGGAGCUCAAGAAACCGUUCGCUGUGGUGGAAAUUGGCAUGUUCCCGGUAAUAUUGCCUGAUUUUUACGGAGUUCAGCACAACUGGCACAAGAAGAGUAUAUUUUGGGAGUUGCUAUAUUGGAAGAAUCUUCUUUUGCGCCGCAACCUCAAUGUGAUGCAUAUAGAGAAGAAUUUUUUUUUGAGAACAUCGUGAAUACAAUACUGAAUGUCCCAGGGAAGACAAAAGACAUCAUGAAAUCGAGAUUGGACUUGCCUGAUAUUUUUUCAAGAAGCGAGUUACAUAUAAAAAGCAAUGGACAAGUUUCCGUUCCGAUAUUCAGAUUGUCUUCCAAACAAAAGUCGUUGUUGUUCAACUGGAAAUAGCAUCUCUUUUUGAAGAGAGCCACAUCUGUCUUCCAGAACAUGCCACUUCCUUCACACUCACAAGACUGGCACCAGAACUCUACACCAAAGAUGAAAUCGAUGAGAUGGUGUUUGGUAAUUGUGGAGCUCAGGAGAAACUGGGAGAGGAGCUCAAAACAUUGGUAGAAGAUACACAUCAGCCUUUGGAUAGAGGCUACAAUGAGCUUUUCAGAAGUAUGGCAGAAAUGAGGACAUAAAUUGAGAGUUUACGUCAACAGCUUGAGAAGGAAGCUACGACCUCAGCAUCGAUCGACGCAACACAUGCAACAUCGAUCGACGUCAGUCUUCCUACAGCCCAGAUCCCUGCAGAACCGCAAUGUUCAACACAACACAAGGAUGAAUGGGAAGUCUCUUACAUGGUCACGAGGAUAAAAGACGUUUACUACCCUCUCAACAACAACGUGGAUUGGCUAAGCACUAAAAUCGAGCUACUACAGCAAGAUCUGGACACCAUUCGCAAGAAGGACCAACAACCAGCCACAUCGAUCGCCAUGUGUACCUUCACAACGCUCGACGCUAAAGUCUCAGCCAUGAAUGAGAGGCUGAGGACUUACGAGGACAUGCAUGACCGCUUUAUAUCACCAGUCAUGAUAUAUUUAAACAAAUUGUCUAGUCAAUUACUUCAUGCCCAAAUGGAUAUUGAGAACAUUACUAAUCAAAGUUUUUUGCAAUCAAAAUCAGCAUCGAUCGACAGGCUACGAGGGCCUUGGAUCGAUGGCAAGAAACCUGUGGAGUUACUUCCAUACACAGCAGCAGAGGUUGACAAGAUCACAUCCAAGAUCUACACUGCUCUAGAUACCAUGGAGGAACGACUUGACAAACGCUGCGAUGACAUCUACUUUCCAUUCGACAACAAAAUCAGUAGACUAGACAGCCACGCAGAAUGGCUACAGAAAGAAGUCAAAGCCAUUCAGAGGCAACUCGCAGCCCAACACCCGAUAUCAGCAUCGAUCGACAGGACACGAGCAAAAUAGAUCGAUGGCAACUCGCCGAGAUAGACCAAUGAACACAUAAUCGCAUCGAUCGACGAGGUCAGUGAGAAGCUGAUACACAAGACGAUAGAGUCAAUGCAAAAGGAACUGACAGAUCUUUCAGCAAACGCCUAUGACAACAUAGGCUGGCACCAGAUCAGCAUUGAAAACGUUCAAGAAAGGCUACAGAACAUCUCCAAUGUACUUGAGAAGAUGGAUGACAAAUGGACAAGAAAUGAUGAGGCCACAAGAAGUUUCAUUGCAUCUUGGUCCAGAAUGUGCAGAGAUGACGUGGAUGCUUGCUUUCCAACAAGCAUCUGUUUCUCCACCCAAUAGCCAAUCACUACCACAGUCAAGCUAAAUGACUAUAACCAAGCGCUGAGUGGGAGGCAACCCACUAUUAGGUAUUUUACUUUGGUUUUAUUAGCUUGCAUUUAAUUACUUUCGUUUUAUUUCUUUCAGAUUUAGGAGACCCAAGUAGGAGGACCUGAAUAUCGACCGACGACGAGACGUCGACAUCGUUCGACAGAGACAACCACAUGACGAUCAAUAUAACACUUACACAUCGAUCAAUAUCUACUCCGGUCAGAUGUAUCUUCCUUACUUGUUACAUUUCGUACAUCAUAAACUAUCCACCAUAACUUCGGCUGAGUUACACUGGGACAGUGUAAUUUAAGUCUGGAGGAGAUUUACGAAUAUAAUUUAUUUUAUUCUUAUAUGAAAAGGAAUUUUAAUAAAUUAUGCUUAGUUAUUGAAAAUAAGGACUAUAAUCUUAUAUUGAUUUAAACUUGAAUAUCUAACCAAUCUUUAGCACUAUUUUAGAUUUACUGAUUGCAGAUAGCACUAAAGAUGCUAAAGGGGAUCAACCUAUCAACUACACACUUGCCUUGAACCGUAUGAAGUAACCAAAGCUGAUUUCCAACACUAAACCUGACAUAACCGCUUGUCUUGGGGCUUGGUAUACAUGGGAUCAGAUUCUUUAGACAGGUCUGGAAGGUAACGCCUGGUGUAGAUUAUUUACCAUAUUUUUUCUCUCUAAAUUUCGACCCUAGAUUAGUUAGUAAGUUAAAAAAAAUAAAAAAAAAAUAAAAAAAUAAAAAAUAAGAUCUAUUGUUUAAUUAUGAUGAGUCUGAACAGGACUUGGUGGCUAAAACCAUUAAGGCUUGAUUCAUAAAGACUCAAAUAAAAGAGUUCGAAACGGGACUUGGAGGUGGCAAUCUUCAAGGCUCGCUUUCGCAAAGAACUCUUGGAUAUAUGUCAAAAAGAAGUGAACAGAACUUGGUGGCAACCACCAUUAAGUUUUGAUUCAUGGAAGCCUGUCCAAUCUUGGUAACUGAUCCUGCAGUGGAAGCAGACUUUGACUCAAGAGAGAAAAUUAGAGAGAGAGAAACUAGGAACUAACUUUUACCUGCAGCUCCAGAUACCUGUCUGAAAUCCUUGCAUCCUGUGAUCGAUACUCCCAAGGUAAAGCAUUCACUUUAUAUUUAUGCUAAGAAAUGAAAUCAGUAGAGGGGAUGUCAGAC
rnacentral:lncRNA from 1 species